GGGUUGUGAGGUUAAGCGACUAAGCGUACACGGUGGAUGCCCUGGCAGUCAGAGGCGAUGAAGGACGUGCUAAUCUGCGAAAAGCGUCGGUAAGGUGAUAUGAACCGUUAUAACCGGCGAUGUCCGAAUGGGGAAACCCAGUGUGAUUCGUCACACUAUCGUUAACUGAAUACAUAGGUUAACGAGGCGAACCGGGGGAACUGAAACAUCUAAGUACCCCGAGGAAAAGAAAUCAACCGAGAUUCCCCCAGUAGCGGCGAGCGAACGGGGAGCAGCCCAGAGUCUGAAUCAGCUUGUGUGUUAGUGGAACGGUCUGGAAAGUCCGACGGUACAGGGUGAUAGUCCCGUACACCAAAAUGCACAGGUUGUGAACUCGAAGAGUAGGGCGGGACACGUGGUAUCCUGUCUGAAUAUGGGGGGACCAUCCUCCAAGGCUAAAUACUCCUGACUGACCGAUAGUGAACCAGUACCGUGAGGGAAAGGCGAAAAGAACCCCGGCGAGGGGAGUGAAAAAGAACCUGAAACCGUGUACGUACAAGCAGUGGGAGCACCUUCGGGUGUGACUGCGUACCUUUUGUAUAAUGGGUCAGCGACUUAUAUUCUGUAGCAAGGUUAACCGUAUAGGGGAGCCGCAGGGAAACCGAGUCUUAACUGGGCGUUAAGUUGCAGGGUAUAGACCCGAAACCCGGUGAUCUAGCCAUGGGCAGGUUGAAGGUUGGGUAACACUAACUGGAGGACCGAACCGACUAAUGUUGAAAAAUUAGCGGAUGACUUGUGGCUGGGGGUGAAAGGCCAAUCAAACCGGGAGAUAGCUGGUUCUCCCCGAAAGCUAUUUAGGUAGCGCCUCGUGAACUCAUCUUCGGGGGUAGAGCACUGUUUCGGCUAGGGGGUCAUCCCGACUUACCAACCCGAUGCAAACUACGAAUACCGAAGAAUGUUAUCACGGGAGACACACGGCGGGUGCUAACGUCCGUCGUGAAGAGGGAAACAACCCAGACCGCCAGCUAAGGUCCCAAAGUCAUGGUUAAGUGGGAAACGAUGUGGGAAGGCACAGACAGCCAGGAUGUUGGCUUAGAAGCAGCCAUCAUUUAAAGAAAGCGUAAUAGCUCACUGGUCGAGUCGGCCUGCGCGGAAGAUGUAACGGGGCUAAACCAUGCACCGAAGCUGCGGCAGCGACACUAUGUGUUGUUGGGUAGGGGAGCGUUCUGUAAGCCUGCGAAGGUGUGCUGUGAGGCAUGCUGGAGGUAUCAGAAGUGCGAAUGCUGACAUAAGUAACGAUAAAGCGGGUGAAAAGCCCGCUCGCCGGAAGACCAAGGGUUCCUGUCCAACGUUAAUCGGGGCAGGGUGAGUCGACCCCUAAGGCGAGGCCGAAAGGCGUAGUCGAUGGGAAACAGGUUAAUAUUCCUGUACUUGGUGUUACUGCGAAGGGGGGACGGAGAAGGCUAUGUUAGCCGGGCGACGGUUGUCCCGGUUUAAGCAUGUAGGCUGAUUAUCCAGGCAAAUCCGGAUAAUCAAGGCUGAGGUGUGAUGACGAGGCACUACGGUGCUGAAGUAACAAAUGCCCUGCUUCCAGGAAAAGCCUCUAAGCAUCAGGUAACAUCAAAUCGUACCCCAAACCGACACAGGUGGUCAGGUAGAGAAUACCAAGGCGCUUGAGAGAACUCGGGUGAAGGAACUAGGCAAAAUGGUGCCGUAACUUCGGGAGAAGGCACGCUGGUGUGUAGGUGAAGUCCCUGCGGAUGGAGCUGAGACCAGUCGAAGAUACCAGCUGGCUGCAACUGUUUAUUAAAAACACAGCACUGUGCAAACACGAAAGUGGACGUAUACGGUGUGACGCCUGCCCGGUGCCGGAAGGUUAAUUGAUGGGGUUAUCCGUAAGGAGAAGCUCUUGAUCGAAGCCCCGGUAAACGGCGGCCGUAACUAUAACGGUCCUAAGGUAGCGAAAUUCCUUGUCGGGUAAGUUCCGACCUGCACGAAUGGCGUAAUGAUGGCCAGGCUGUCUCCACCCGAGACUCAGUGAAAUUGAACUCGCUGUGAAGAUGCAGUGUACCCGCGGCAAGACGGAAAGACCCCGUGAACCUUUACUAUAGCUUGACACUGAACAUUGAGCCUUGAUGUGUAGGAUAGGUGGGAGGCUUUGAAGCGUGGACGCCAGUCUGCGUGGAGCCAACCUUGAAAUACCACCCUUUAAUGUUUGAUGUUCUAACGUUGGCCCCUGACCGGGGUUGCGGACAGUGUCUGGUGGGUAGUUUGACUGGGGCGGUCUCCUCCCAAAGCGUAACGGAGGAGCACGAAGGUUAGCUAAUCCUGGUCGGACAUCAGGAGGUUAGUGCAAUGGCAUAAGCUAGCUUGACUGCGAGCGUGACGGCGCGAGCAGGUGCGAAAGCAGGUCAUAGUGAUCCGGUGGUUCUGAAUGGAAGGGCCAUCGCUCAACGGAUAAAAGGUACUCCGGGGAUAACAGGCUGAUACCGCCCAAGAGUUCAUAUCGACGGCGGUGUUUGGCACCUCGAUGUCGGCUCAUCACAUCCUGGGGCUGAAGUAGGUCCCAAGGGUAUGGCUGUUCGCCAUUUAAAGUGGUACGCGAGCUGGGUUUAGAACGUCGUGAGACAGUUCGGUCCCUAUCUGCCGUGGGCGCUGGAGAAUUGAGGGGGGCUGCUCCUAGUACGAGAGGACCGGAGUGGACGCAUCACUGGUGUUCGGGUUGUCAUGCCAAUGGCACUGCCCGGUAGCUAAAUGCGGAAGAGAUAAGUGCUGAAAGCAUCUAAGCACGAAACUUGCCCCGAGAUGAGUUCUCCCUGAGACUUUAAGUCUCCUGAAGGAACGUU
rnacentral:rRNA from 1 species